rnacentral:sRNA from 1 species
CUGCGGCAGGUUCGUGUCGAACGCAGUGAGACAACGGAGCCGCUUGCGGCGACGGCCCGAAGGGCGAGCGAAGCGAGUCAUCCUGCACGACCCACCA